rnacentral:rRNA from 1 species
CAGUAGCCGCGGGAAAACGAAGGGUGCAAGCGUUACUCGGAAUUACUGGGCGUAAAGCGUGCGUAGGUGGUGGUUUAAGUCCGUUGUGAAAGCCCUGGGCUCAACCUGGGAAUUGCAGUGGAUACUGGGUCACUAGAGUGUGGUAGAGGAUAGUGGAAUUUCCGGUGUAGCAGUGAAAUGCGUAGAGAUCGGAAGGAACAUCUGUGGCGAAGGCGACUAUCUGGGCCAACACUGACACUGAGGCACGAAAGCGUGGGGAGCAAACAGGAUUAGAUACCCGGGUAGUCCCUGUCUCUUAUAC